rnacentral:tRNA from 1 species
AAUGUUAUGCCAGAAAAAUUGGGUUAUCUUGAUGGGAUAAAAUAUGAGGUUGUAUCUUUAACAUUU